rnacentral:misc_RNA from 1 species
CAGAGUUCAUGCCCUUCGGGGUAGACCUCCCACCCUUUGUUAUACCAACCAUUGUUGCUUUGGCGGGACGCCUUCGGGCCAUCGGCUUCGGCUGCUGCGUGUCCGCCAGAGACCCUUAACCCUGCCUUUAUUGUCGUCUGAGUACUAUAUAAUAGUUA